UACGGGGGGAGCAAGCGUUGUCCGGAAUCAUUGGGCGUAAAGCGCGUGUAGGCGGUCCGGUAAGUCCGCUGUGAAAGUCGGGGGCUCAACCCUCGAAUGCCGGUGGAUACUGUCGGGCUAGAGUGCGGAAGAGGCGAGUGGAAUUCCUGGUGUAGCGGUGAAAUGCGCAGAUAUCAGGAGGAACACCAAUUGCGAAGGCAGCUCGCUGGGACGUGACUGACGCUGAGACGCGAAAGCGUGGGGAGCAAACAGG
rnacentral:rRNA from 1 species